rnacentral:rRNA from 1 species
UCGACUGUUUAUCAAAAACAUAGCCAUGAGUAAAUAUUUAUGGUGUUAUCUGCCCAGUGAAAAUAUUUAACGGCCGCAGUACCUUGACUGUGCAAAGGUAGCAUAAUCACUUGACUUUUAAUUGGAGCCUAGUAUGAAAGAGAGAACGUAGACAACUUGUCUCAUUAAUAGUAUUUUAAAAUUGCUGUAGGAGUGAAAAUACUCCUAAUAUUUAAAAAUAGACGAGAAGACCCUUAGAAUUUUAAAAAUAUAACUGAAAUGUCUGUUAAGAUUUUUUGUUGGGGCAACAAUAUUUCAAAAUAAAUAAACAUACAAGUAAGUGGAUGAGUCGAUUUAAUAGUCAUAGAGAAA